CUCAUGGUGUCUUUUCAAAUUGAUUAAUGGUUGGAAUAUUUAGUUCAAGUUUAACUUAAAUGGCUCUAUAAAAUACCAGUACUAAAUAGCAAUAGCAUUGAGAUGUAUCAUAAUCACUUAUAUACAUGCUUAUUAGGAGACAAAAUAAAAGUCAGAAAUGAUGGAGAGAAAAAUGGUUUUCAGCUUAUUCUUCUUUCUUAUUGUUGUCUUUGCUGCUCAAGAAGCAGUGAUGCAGAUUGAGGCAUCUGAGAUAAUAUGUUUUACUUAUAAAGGUCCAUGCAGACACAAUAGUGGAGGAGACAGCGUUGUUUGUCACCUUAAGUGCCUUUUGAUGAAUAAAAUUAUAUCUGGUGGUUUCUGCGAAAAUGAUAAAUGCAUAUGUGAGGUUGGUUGAUGAGUUUUUAUUGAAUAGUGUUAAUCCCAUUUUAGUCAUGUAAUAUGAUUUAAAAAGAUAAAUCUAGCUUUAAUUUUGUUCAUGUGUGUGUAUCUGGUUCAAUGUCCAUGAAAUCAAUUUAUCCCAUUGGUGAGAAGAGAAUUAAUUAAUAUA